GGACAGAUUUGACCCAAGGUGCUGAGGGGCCGGGACAGAGCUAACAGAGAGGGCCAGCCUCUGGCCAGUAUCCCCUCUGCCAAACCCCACUGGCAGAUGGGGGUGUAGUUCGGGUUCAUGUUCCCUUUAGUACAGCGGACCUUAUUAACUGGAAGAACUACAUGCUGUGAUAUCGAGAGGAUCUGGUAAAAAUGUAUUAGCUGUCUAUCACAAUUAAUUCCUUUGAUCCCACUUGGGCAGACUCAGUCUCUCUUAAGCACCUCCCUUUCCCUGGAGGAGAGGCAGAUAGUCCUAGACAGGGCCCGAGAGGAAGCCCAGAGACAAUAUGACGUUCAGCUGGCAGGAGAUGAAGUUGAUGACAUCUUCCCCCUUUGAGACCCCUGCUGGGAUCACAGUCAAAAUGGCAGAGUAUGAUAUGCUCACCCGUUAUCAGGACUGUCUCUUAGUGGGUCUUAAAAAUGGAGUACCUAAGCUCUUAAAUUGGAAUAAGGUGUAUGAGAUUAAACAGCACACAAAUGAGGAUCCUUCAGCUUUCCUUGAAAGGAUUUAUAAAGCUUUUAGACAGUACACUGAUCAGGAUCCAGAGGAUCCAGCAAACACUCGGAUGGUCAAUAGUAUUUUUAUAGGACAGUGCACCCCGGACUUUGCGAAAAAGCUCCAUAAGAUAGCUGGGGCUGGGACCAUGAGCAUCAGAUACCUGGUUGAAAUGGCAUUUAAGGCCUAUAAUAACAGAGAGGAUAAAGACAGGAAGCGUCAGGUUGCCCUGCUAGUAGCAGCAAUACAGGCUAGGCCCUCAGAAGGGAAGAAACCUACUGGCCCUAGUGAGGCCCGACUUCCGCCCCCACCGGGAAGAAACCAGCGUGCCUGUUGUAAAGAGGAGGGCCACUGGAAGAGAGCGUAUCCCAAGAAAAAGACUAGGCAGCUCAAAUGCUAGCCCUAACCCUAGAAGAGGACUCUGACUAGGGCAGACUAGGGGCAGGACUUCCCCCUGAACCUCUGGUUAUAAUAAACAUGGAGGGAAAACCUACUCAAUUUUUUGUUGAUACUGGAACUACACACUUGGUCCUUACCAAACCAGUCAGACCCUUGUCCAGGCAUAAGAUCUCAGUAGUUGGAGUAGCAGGUAAAGAAGAUACCCACUCAUUCCUUCAACCCCUCACCUGCUCCUUCCCUGGAAAAGUGAAAACUUUGACCCCCUCUUUCCUGUACAAGCCUGAUUGCCCUGUCCCCUUGUUGGGCCGAGAAUUAAUUAAAUAAAUCACAAGCUGGAAUACACUUCAGCUGAAGACAGAUGUGUGUUCAAGUUCCAGUAGAACAGGGAUGGAAGUCACACUUACUGUUGUGUUCCACUCUGCAAACCCAGGGACAAGAAACAAUCCGCUUUCCCUGCCAAGCUGUGAUGACAAAGAUUAACCCGCUAGUAUGGGCCACCCAAUGCCGGCACACAGUGCAGUUCCAGUGAAGGUUGAGCUACUUCCAGGAAUAAUCCCGCCUAGGCUGACACAAUACCCAAUAGGACAAGAGGCUCAGUUGGCAGUACUGCGUUUAGUACAGAGAUACUUAGAGUUUGGACUCUUUAAGGUUCUGCACAUGUGCUUUCAACACUCCAAUCCUGCCUAUGAAGAAGAAGGAUGGCUCCUAUCAAUUUGUCCAAGACCUGCAGGCCAUCAACCAGGUAACAGUACAUCCCACCAUGGCUAAUCCUUUUGCCUUGCUCUCGACACUAUCACGUGCUUAGAAAUUUUUCUUGGUCUUAGAUUUAAAAGAUGCUUUCUUCUGUGUGCCUUGGGACCCAGUAGCCAAGAGAUUUUUGCCUUUGAAUUGGAAGACCCAGAUACUAGACAAAAACAACAAUAUUGCUGGCAGGUUCUACCUCAGGGCUUUAAAAACACUCCCACUGUGUUUGGAACCACCCUAGCCCGAAGGUUCCAAAGGCUGACACUGACAGAUGGCACCCUGUUGCAAUAUGUGGAUGACUUACUGAUUGCCAGCUCUGAUGAGUUUAGCUGUGCAGAGAACAUUGUGACUGCAUUAAACUUUUGGGCAGAGGCUGGGUAUAGGGUGUAGAAAGAAAAGGCCUAGAUGGCCCAGCAGAAGGUCACCUAUUUGGGGCUUAUCAUUAGUAAGGGAAAGUGGGAGCUCCAUCCAGACAGGAAAGAAGCUAUAUGUAGGCUAGCACCCCUAGGGAACUGGAAACAGCUCCAAGGGUUUCUGGGGAUGGUAGGCUUCUGCAGGAUAUGGAUCCCUAAUCUUGGGCUACUUACCAAGCUCCUGUGUGCCUUCCCAAAAGGAAAAGAGACAGACUUGUUUCUUUGGACUAAACAAGAACAAACAGCACUUGAACAGGUUAUAAAAGCCCUACUAGAAGCCCCAGCAUUAGGGCUCCCAGACUUGCAUAAACCUUUUGAUCUUUUUGUACAUGAACAUCAGGGUGUAGAUGUAGGGGUUUUGACCCAAAAUCUGGGCUCCUGAAGACGGCCAGUGGCUUAAUUCUCGAAGACUAUGGACCCAGUCACCUGUGGGUGGCCAGCGUGCCUUAAAGCUGUAGCAGCCACUGUAAAGAUCCUGAAGGGAGCCCAAAAGCUAACCUCGGGCCAAACCAUUCGAUUUGAAACCCCUCAUUUGUGCUCACUAUACUGGAACAAAGUCAUUGGCUAUCCCAGAGUCGAAUAACUCAAUACUAGUCUGCUCUGGUUGAUAAUACCAAUGUGUUGGUCCAGUCUGCUGUCGCUCUAAAUCCAGCCACCCUUCUCCCCACUCUGCUUCUGGGAGACCCCAUCCAUCAUGACUGUGUUCAGACUGUGGACCUGGUCUAUGCCAGCCACCCAGACCUACAAAAUCAGCCUCUAGCAGAUGCUGACUUAGAGUUCUUCACAGAUGGAAGUAGCUUCAUAGAGGGUGGCCAACAGAGGGUGGGCUAUGCAAUUGUCAGCCUCACCAAGGUCCUCGAAGCAAACGCUCUCCCCAGUGGAACCUCGGCCCAAAAGGUCAAACUGGUCACGAUGAUUCAGGCUUUGUGGCUGGCCAAGUCCAAGCGAGUGACCAUUUAUACAGACUCAAGGUAUGUUUUUAGGGUUCUCUAUGUACACAGGGACUUGUGGAGACAGGACUCUAAACUCGGCCGGCAAAGAGGUUAAACACAGCCAACAGAUUUUACAACUCCUUGAGAUGGUGCUACUCCCUGCCACCCUGGCCAUGGUACACUGCAAAGGACAUCAGCAGGAAGGUAAAGCAGUGGCCAAGGGCAACCAAAAGGCUGACUUAGAGGCCAAGCAGGCUGCCAGAACAAUGGCCCCAGUUGUAGUUGCUGCCUUCUUUCCACGUCUUAUUUUGCCACCAGCCAUGGAAGACCCUGGUUACAGUGAAAAGCAGCUUUAUGUGGCUGAUCAGUGGCCAUUCCAGAAAAAGAAUAAGUGGUUCUGCACAGGGAUGGGAGGCUGUUAAUUCCACAACACGGGAUCCCCGGCAUCCUGAAGCACCUACAUGAGACCACUCACUACGGGCGAGAAGCGAUGUAUGAUUGGGUAAAGAGACACUUUGUCAGCCAAAAUUUGCAGGCUGUUAUCAGAGAUGUUACUAAACAAUGUGUCAUCUGUCAGGAAAACAAUCUCAAGACCUUCUCAGCAGCACCAGAGCAGAUCCAGUACCAAGGAUAUGUUCUGGGAGAAGAUUGGCAAAUAGACUUCACUGAGAUGCCCUGGGAUCCAGGCAACUACAGGUCACAGAACUUGUAGCCUGACAACUGGGGAUGAAGUGGCAUCUUCACAGUGCGUGGAGACUCUGAUCUAGCGGAAAGGCAGAAAGGAUGAACCAGACUAUCAAAACCCAUUUGGCCAAAUGGAGACCAAAUUUACUUGGGUUAAGGCCCUUCCCUUGGCUCUGUUCAGGAUUAGAGUUGCACCUUGAGCUAAACUUAAGGUAUGUGACAUGGCAGAUUCUUCCACAGCCCAAAGUCCCUCUCCACGUUUCAAAGCCUGGUACCUGGAUAUAUGUCAAGACCUGCAACGCUGCAGACCUGACAGAAAAAUGGAAGGAACCUUUUGAGGUGUUGAUGUCAACUCCUACUGCAGUCAAGAUCACUGGAAGGGGAGCAUGGAUCCACCACUCUCGCACAAACCGGCUCCCACUCCCAAUAUCGUCCAACAGACGCUACAAAACAGUAAGAAUUGGAAAGACAGUGAUAACUGGGAGAUUUGGCCCUUAGAGGGUUUAGCUUGGUUGUUUAAGAAGAAACAAGUAACAUAGACAAUUGUGCCAGUUGAUUGUCAUCCCCUGGUGGCUGCGUAUGUUGUUUUAGCCUUAUUGAUAAUUAUUUUCUGGUUUUGUAUGACUGGUACUUGCUUCCUGCUGGGUUUAAUUACUGACUGCUCUGUUCAUAAUUCUAUUCAUGCUUUGGGCUCUUACUCUCCUGUGCAUGCUGCCACACACAUGCAGCCUUAUAUAAUUUCCGUCUUAUUCCCUCACCUCUUAGACAUUCUGUUUGUUUAUCCCCUGCGUCUCUCUCAGAGAGACAAAGUCCCCGGAAUGGCGAGAUAACUGUCUCAUAAGUACCUCAAAUGGUCUGCACUUGCAAGAUUGCUAGGCUGCUUCACCCCCUGCCCCACCAGAACUAAACACAAUGUAGAAGCAAUCCUGGGCAACAAUUACACCCAAGUAUCCCACCUACCAAAAACAUCACCAGAUACCCCACAUGAUGGGUCUCCCUCUGGGUCCAUCUCUCAUCUACUCCCAUAUAUGAGAUUAACAUUUCCUGGGCUGAGAACUGAUCCCACCCUAUUUGUUCACAACUCAUUGACCAAGAGUUCAUUUCCUCUAAUUACAAUAAAGAUUUUGCCCAACAGACCAUCCAGAGUAUCACUAAUUCCAAUGCUACAACCCCAGACAAUUGGAAUGAGACAAAAUGUAUCCCGACUAAUCUGACCAACCAAAUUUGCUGCACAGGGGCACCAACAAAGGGAAGAUACCCAAAAAUUUCCCAAGAACUCUUUGUUUGCUCUCUAACUAUUGCUUGCAGUACCACAUGGGGCCUAUACCCACAGGCACACUCUAUCACCUCUGAAGCAUAUGUACAAUGCAACAAGAGAGGAUACCAGAGCCCCACAUAUCAAGUAUACCAACCUGAACUUUAUGGUCCCGUAGCCCCAAGCUUGCAGAACAACACUGGGCAUGAGUAAGAUAACACCACCCUCAAUAACUGCAUCACUGAAUCUCUGUGUGCCCCUGUCUUAGUCAUCUAGUGCUGCUCUAACAGG